CAGGUAUCAACGAGUUCUUAACGAAUCCGCCUGAGUCAUGGGCUGUACUCAGUGUAUGGAACUGUAAGGACGUGUUCAAGCUCGAAGUUCGAGGCGCAUCGAGGAUGACGAAGGGUUUAGCUAAAACGACCCGUUUAAUGGACCGGGCUUUUCCAUGGCUUAAGGUUCCAUCUGUACCCGAAGUUUUCAGGCCUUUUGGGCUUCAUUUUAUGUAUGGGCUUGGUGGGGAAGGCCCAUUAUCCGUUAAAUUAACUAAGGCACUUUGUGAUUUGGCCCAUAACUUAGCGGCUGAAUCGGGUUGUGAAGUGGUGGUGACGGAAGUAGCAAG
rnacentral:misc_RNA from 1 species